rnacentral:rRNA from 1 species
UACAGAGGUCCCAAGCGUUGUUCGGAUUCAUUGGGCGUAAAGGGUGCGUAGGCGGUGAUGUAAGUUGGAUGUGAAAUCCCAGGGCUUAACCCUGGAACUGCAUUCAAUACUGCGUUGCUAGAGUACUGGAGAGGAGAUUGGAAUUCACGGUGUAGCAGUGAAAUGCGUAGAUAUCGUGAGGAAGACCAGUGGCGAAGGCGAAUCUCUGGACAGUUACUGACGCUGAGGCACGAAGGCCAGGGGAGCAAACGGG